rnacentral:rRNA from 4 species
GCAUGUGCGCGAGUCAUUGGGACUCUGUUAAACCUAAAGGCGCAAUGAAAGUAAAGGUCCGCCUCGCGCGGACCGAGGGAGGAUGGGUCCGUCCCCGGACGGGCCCCGCACUCCCGGGGCGUCUCGUCCUCAUCGCGAGGAGAGGCGCACCCAGAGCGUACACGCUGGGACCCGAAAGAUGGUGAACUAUGCCUGGUCAGGACGAAGUCAGGGGAAACCCUGAUGGAGGUCCGUAGCGAUUCUGACGUGCAAAUCGAUCGUCGGAACUGGGUAUAGGGGCGAAAGACUAAUCGAA